rnacentral:rRNA from 1 species
UAAGGGCGCACGGUGGAUGCCUUGGCACUAGAAGCCGAUGAAGGACGUUACUAACGACGAUAUGCUUUGGGGAGCUGUAAGUAAGCUUUGAUCCAGAGAUUUCCGAAUGGGGAAACCCAGCAUGAGUUAUGUCAUGUUAUCGAUAUGUGAAUACAUAGCAUAUCAGAAGGCACACCCGGAGAACUGAAACAUCUUAGUACCCGGAGGAAGAGAAAGAAAAUUCGAUUCCCUUAGUAGCGGCGAGCGAAACGGGAAGAGCCCAAACCAACAAGCUUGCUUGUUGGGGUUGUAGGACACUCUAUACGGAGUUACAAAGGACGACAUUAGACGAAUCAUCUGGAAAGAUGAAUCAAAGAAGGUAAUAAUCCUGUAGUCGAAAAUGUUGUCUCUCUUGAGUGGAUCCUGAGUACGACGGAGCACGUGAAAUUCCGUCGGAAUCUGGGAGGACCAUCUCCUAAGGCUAAAUACUCUCUAGUGACCGAUAGUGAACCAGUACCGUGAGGGAAAGGUGAAAAGCACCCCGGAAGGGGAGUGAAAUAGAACCUGAAACCGUGUGCUUACAAGUAGUCAGAGCCCGUUAAUGGGUGAUGGCGUGCCUUUUGUAGAAUGAACCGGCGAGUUACGAUUUGAUGCAAGGUUAAGCAGUAAAUGUGGAGCCGUAGCGAAAGCGAGUCUGAAUAGGGCGUUUAGUAUUUGGUCGUAGACCCGAAACCAGGUGAUCUACCCUU